GGAGAGAUUGCCGAGCGGCCAAAGGCAACAGACUGUAAAUCUGUCGGUUUAUACCUUCGAAGGUUCGAAUCCUUCUCUCUCCA
rnacentral:tRNA from 1 species